rnacentral:rRNA from 1 species
GUAGGUGGCAAGCGUUGUCCGGAUUUAUUGGGUUUAAAGGGUGCGUAGGCGGCUUUGUAAGUCAGUGGUGAAAUAUGGCAGCUUAACUGUCAAGGUGCCAUUGAUACUGCGGAGCUUGAGUACAGAUGAGGUAGGCGGAAUUGACGGUGUAGCGGUGAAAUGCUUAGAUAUCGUCAAGAACACCUAUAGCGAAGGCAGCUUACUAAGCUGUAACUGACGCUGAGGCACGAAAGUGUGGGGAUCAAACAGGAUUAGAUACCCUGGUAGUCCACACUGUAAACGUUGAUUACUCGCUGUGUGCGAUAUACAGUACGCGGCCAAGCGAAAGCGCUAAGUAAUCCACCUGGGGAGUACGCCGGCAACGGUGAA